rnacentral:lncRNA from 1 species
UGAUAAGAAAGAACAGUUGUAUAGAUUGACUCAGUAAGCAUGUCGGACCACAUUCUUAUCUAAAAUGUUAACAUCCAUUAGGUUGAUGUUAUACCAUACUUAUUAACCCAUCUAUACUUUUAAAUUUAUCCAAUGUGAUUUAUGUGAAAUUAAUAUCCCAACAAAUUGAUGAGGUCAAAAGACUUUCUCAGCUAGGGCUAAUAUAUUGCAAGGUUAUGCCAAUUUUUAAUUUUAUUUUAUUUUAAAAGUAAUUAUGCUCUGACAUUAGUAUUUGUACGA